rnacentral:lncRNA from 1 species
GUGGCUGAGUACGCAAAUUUUUACGCAGAUGUGACUGAGUUUGUAAAAUAUUUUCCAGUGAUGCCUAGAAAUUCUUCUACUUCAAUAGAAAGUUCUGCGAGAAGGUGGCUUGAUUCCACUGUUGCUGUUGGAAGUGGAAACUUGUCAAGGACAGCCUUCCAAUUGAGUGCACUGCUGGUCUUUACUCCCUGCAGCCUCCCUGGGAAGAACUUUCUGAAAAUGAUAGCAUGGAACAAGGAUAAUUACGGCUUGCUGUGUGCUGGAGAUAAUGGUGAUUCUGAUAUGUUAAUGCCUUUCUGUGUGAAACAGUAUCAAGCAAAUGAAUGGAACUCAUCAGCUUGGCUUGCUCCUGAAGGUAACGGAUUUUUUUUUGUGAAUUGUUUGCUAGUGCAUGUCAUAAUAAAAUGUACAAUGACAUUCACUCUAAUACUAGAAUGUUAUAGUUGUUUCCAAAAAGCAUAAUAAUAGCUCUGAAAUCUCUCUUUUUUAUUUAUUUUUUUUAUUUUAUUCUUUAUCUUUUUGGCCUGAUGACACAACAUUUUUGAAGAGAUAUCUGAUGGAUGAGUAAAGUAGAUUUUGGAACCGUGUUUUAAAAUGAGUCAAUAAGUAAUAGAAUUAUUUGAGUUGGAAGGGGUACUAAGAGGUCAUUUAGUCAAAUUCCCCUGCAAUGAACAGGGACACCUGCAGCUAUAUCAGGUUGCUCAGGGCCCCCUCCAGCCUGACCUCAAUUGUCUCCAGAGAUGGGACAUCUACCACCUCUCUGGUCAACUUGUUCCAAACCUCAGCACCCUUAUUGUAAUAAUCUUUUUCCUUAUAUCCAGUCUAAAUCUUCCCUCUUUUAGUUCAAAACCAUUUCCCUUUGUUCUCUACAAACGGACCCUGCUAAAGUAUCAUCAUAUCAUCAUAGUAUCAUAAUCUCGUGCGGGUUGGAAGGGACCUUAGAGAUCAUCGAGUCCAACCCCUGGGAUUCGAGCCUCUGUGUGUUGCAAAGGGGCAUUCCUACCACUGCGCCACUGGGGCACACAAAUUGUCUGUCCCUUUCUCUUUUGUAACCCCCGUAAGAUACUGAAAGGUUGUUAUCAGGUCUCCCCAGAGCAUUCUCUUCUCCAGGCUGAACAGCCCCAUCUCUGUCUGAGUGUCCUUGUAGAGAAGAUAUUCCAUCUCUUGGAUCUUUGGGCCUCCUCUAGAUGUCAUUGCUGGAAGAUAUUAAAUAGCAUCAUUUCCAGAUGCCUGAGGAAUAGCACCGAUCUUAACCCAGACACUUAGUAAUUUACCAC